AAAGAGAGGCAAAGCCGCGAGGUGGAGCAAAUCUCAAAAAAGACCGUCCCAGUUCGGAUUGCAGGCUGCAACCCGCCUGCAUGAAGUUGGAAUCGCUAGUAAUCGCGGAUCAGCAUGCCGCGGUGAAUACGUUCCCGGGCCUUGUACACACCGCCCGUCACACCAUGAGAGUCGGGAACACCCGAAGUCCGUAGCCUAACCGCAAGGGGGGCGCGGCCGAAGGUGGGUUCGAUAAUUGGGGUGAAGUCGUAACAAGGUAGC
rnacentral:rRNA from 1 species